AUUGAACGCUGGCGGCAUGCCUUACACAUGCAAGUCGAACGGUAACAGGUCUUCGGAUGCUGACGAGUGGCGAACGGGUGAGUAAUACAUCGGAACGUGCCCGAUCGUGGGGGAUAACGGAGCGAAAGCUUUGCUAAUACCGCAUACGAUCUACGGAUGAAAGCAGGGGACCGCAAGGCCUUGCGCGGACGGAGCGGCCGAUGGCAGAUUAGGUAGUUGGUGGGAUAAAAGCUUACCAAGCCGACGAUCUGUAGCUGGUCUGAGAGGACGACCAGCCACACUGGGACUGAGACACGGCCCAGACUCCUACGGGAGGCAGCAGUGGGGAAUUUUGGACAAUGGGCGCAAGCCUGAUCCAGCCAUGCCGCGUGCAGGAUGAAGGCCUUCGGGUUGUAAACUGCUUUUGUACGGAACGAAAAGACCCUUUCUAAUAAAGAGGGUCCAUGACGGUACCGUAAGAAUAAGCACCGGCUAACUACGUG
rnacentral:rRNA from 1 species